GGCGAGUGAGCGGGAAAGCUCAAAUUUAAAAUCUGGCAGUCUUUGGCUGUCCGAGUUGUAAUCUAGAGAAGCGUUUUCCGCGCUGGACUGUACACAAGUUUCCUGGAUACGGAACAUCAUAGAGGGUGAGAAUCCCGUCCUUGGUACAGACUCCCAGUGCUCUGUGAUGCGCUUUCCACGAGUCGAGUUGUUUGGGAUUGCAGCUCAAAAUGGGAGGUAAAUUCCUUCUAAAGCUAAAUAUUGGCGAGAGACCGAUAGCGAACAAGUACCGUGAGGGAAAGAUGAAAAGCACUUUGGAAAGAGAGUUAAACAGUACGUGAAAUUGUUAAAAGGGAAACGCUUGAAGUCAGUCGCGUCUGCUUGGACUCAGCCUUGCCUCGGCUUGGUGCAUUUCCUGCAGACGGGCCAACGUCCAUGUCUUGCGCCGGAAAAGGGGUGAGGGAAUGUGGCUCCUCCGGGAGUGUUAUAGCCUUUGCUCGUAUACGACGCGAGAUAUGGAGUGGAACAGCAUGCUUCGGUGGUGCUUGUGUUGGCAUAAUGGCUUUAAACGACCCGUCUUGAAACACGGACCAAGGAGUCUAACAUGUCUGCGAGUGUUUGGGUGGAAAACCCGAGCGCGAAAUGAAAGUGAUAGCUGGGAAUCCCUUUGGGAGGCACCGGCGCCCCGAGCUGACCUUCUGUGACGCAUCGGAGGUAGAG
rnacentral:rRNA from 1 species